ACGGCUGACUGAAAUAUGUAUUACUGAAAUGGCCCGCCGCUGUCAAAUAUUUAGCUCUUGUAAAUAAACAACGUUCGAAAUAUGUCCAAGUAUUUUUGACUGACAUGUCUGCUGCCUGCUUUGAACGCCCUUAUCUCUUGCUGGGAACUCGCACAGCUCACUGUCAUCGGCAAUAUCGGAUUCAUCAAAAAUUAAGCAGGAGCUGCGAACCAGCAGAGCUGGCAGAGGCAGUCAAAACUUGUGGAAUAUUCCUUGUGCAAAGUUGGUUAAUGGGCAUAAGUGUGGCAACAGACGCCGACAAUGACUUAAGAAUUAGCUCUAAUGCAAAUACUGUGCUCCACAAACACGAACGCAUUUACACAGAGGAGAAUGUCUGUGCGAGUGAGCCAUCGAUAAUUUCGUGACUCGAUACUUAUCUUCUGCAUUCCCCGGCUUCUACAUAUUUGCUCUCAUUACUCUGCUGCUUUGGGCAUGCAAGCAUAACUAACAACUUACCUUUCGCCACUAUCUUGGGCGGCAUAUAAUUCCCAUUUGAUUCGAAGGAUAAUAUGGGUAGAUAUGCCAAUUUCUGCGCCGGAUGCCAAGAGAAACGGAUGCGCAGCCUUCACAAAAGGCACGUAAUGCUGCUGUCGGGCCUUGGUCCUGUUAUGUCAUACUUCACGGACCCAUUUUACCCCCGUCUUACGGCCCAAUGUUACCCUUAUGUGAGUGCGUGUGUGAAGUUACGUUACUUCUGAAAAGGGUAACGUACGCAAUCCCCUGCACUUAAGGGGGUAUUAUAGCCUAGAAAUUUGAAAAAAUGGAAAACAAUUUUUUUUCAUAAUUCGAUAGUUUAGAUAUUCAAAAAUAUCUCCCUAAACGGAUUUUUCAAAAUUCAAAUUAUUUUUAAAAUUAUAGCCGUUUUAGUGACGCGGCAACUAGACCGGUUGAACGAGCGACUGGAGGCCCGGGCUACCUGAGUAUGAAUAACUUUUUCUCCUUCUUUCUAUUUAUUUCCUUAUUUAUUUCCUUAUUUUCAGUAUACUAUAUCAAUCGUUUGAAUGUCAUUGUAACGUAUUAUACGAAAAUCUCUAUUCAAUUUGCUUUUAGUUUGAUUUAGUCACUUGUUAACCUUUAAACAGUGAAGACGUACAAUCACGUGUGAAUUUUUCUGUGCGCUCUUUAUAUUAUUUUAUUUUUGUUUUAAAAUGGAAAAAAAAAAUAGCAGACAAGGUACUUCGCGUCCCGGCAGAUCAAAAAAACGGAGGUUUAGCGGUAAUCAACAUACUCUUGAAGAGGAUACAUCUUUUACUAGUGCAUCGGCAGCAAAGUUGAAGAGUUCAAGUGAUGAUGAAAUUUUAGUGGAUAGUAAUUUUGGUUAUUGUUUAUUAGAAUUUUGUUCUGUGUUUUCAUCUCUUGCAAAUUAAUUGCAAAUUAUUUAGCAGUCUGUUUUUUAAUGAAGGUUUUUAUCCUAUUCUAAAUAUUAUGGGUUUGCUGUUAAGCGCAACGCUGUAAGGAUCCAACGGUCUGAGGUCCGAGCUUCAGAUGCUUCAAAAGAAGGAAGAACUGCUCGUUAUCAUGAAAGAACUGCUAAAAUUAAUCGAUAUGAAGUAGAAGAAGGCCCAAUGUAUAAAGCUGGGAUGGCUGAUUAAGAGAAUAUGACCACAAGGGUAGAAAUCAUGGCGACGAGGACACGGCCUUUUUUUCCCUUCUACUUCAAGAACGCAUAACUCGAUGAAAAAAAUUUUUUUUUUUUUAAAUUUUAUUUUAUGUACUCUUCUAAGUUAAAUAAACAAAUGAUAAAAAACCCGACAGUAAAAAUAUCAAUUGUUUAGUUUUAAUUAAUUGUUAAAAAAGGCUCGAAACUAGAGCCUCUACACCCAGAAAAAAAAGAACGAAAAAAAUGAAGAACAUUUUUCAUGAAAUGCGAACAAUCCGUUCUCCAUUUUUAGUUCUCACAUUUCAAAAAUCGAACGGUGUUGGUAACAAUUUCUACCGACGAACAACUUGGUUCCAAAUUGCGAAAAAUGUUCUCAGAUAUCGAACGCCGUUCAGGAAAAAGCUGCGAUAGACGCGUUAAAGUCUAUCGAAAUCGAUAAUAUCAACACCGUUCAUAAAAACAUGUAUGUAGGUCUAGGUCCCGAUUUUCCGCAUUCGAAAAAUUCGCUUGGUGGUCUAGCUGCUAGAGCGUCCGCCUUCGACACAUGGUAGCACAGGUUCGAGUCCGCGAGAAGACGGUUGUGAAUUGUAAUUGUUUUAUUAAAAUAU